GAUUUAAAAGUAAUGCAGAAGUGCCUAUUUUUUUUUUUUUUUUUGAAAGCCUUGACCCCAAGGGAUGUCAGAUCCGUCACAAAUAUGGAAAGCCCACUGUUCACAUAGACAGAGUCUCCCCUGUAUGUGCACGGCGUCGCACAAGUACAAGAUACAACCACAGUAUAUAAACAACCAUAUGCAUUCAUCACAUCACAUAAAUCAAUCCACAUUCAUUAAAUCACAAGAUUGCAAUAUUUUCUUCAUAAAUCCACAAGAUACAACAACAGUAUAUAAACAACCAUAUACAUUCAUCACAUCACAUAAAUCAAUCCACAUUCAUUAAAUCACAAGAUUGAAAUAUUUUCUUCAUAAAUCCACAUCUAUUAGUUUAAAACGUUUCCCACUCGAAAACUUUUUUUGGAAACACUAAGAAUCAUGAAAAUCAGGAAAGCUCUUUUAAAACUAUUUCCCACGCGAAAAUCUAUUCUUUUAAAACACGCGACCACGAGGGGUAGAAAACUGUUUUCAUCCCAUUAGAAAUCCGUAAGUACUUUAUUACAUUCACAAAACCACAUGUAUCUGAAUAAAGUAAACCACUGAACCAUAAUAUCUAAGUUAAU
rnacentral:lncRNA from 1 species